GAUGAUGAGAAUGAUUUUAAGAAUUAUGAUCAGGAUUAUCAAAAGUUGAUGUGAUUCCUCAUCAUGAUAAAAUAAUAAUAAUAUUUAACUUGAGAUACUAAUUUCUGAACUUUGGAGAAUAAGCUUUAAGUUACCAUGACAAAUUGUAUUACUUAAUGAAAAUAUUUUGUGUUCAGUGAUUUGAUUAAACAUCAUGAUCAAGUAAAUAUUUGGCGAGAGAUGCGCUACUGCUUUACAUCUUGUAAGUUGUAACUUACACUACAGUUACAAUCCAACUUGGAGAAAACUAAAAGGUAUUGACAACAGACUCAUGAGACUAUUCAGAGGACAAUAGUGCCAAAUAAUAUGGAACUGAGAAAAACAACAACAUAUUCUUCCAAAAAAUUUGAAGAAAGUCCUUGAAAUGGCAAUCUUGUAAAAUUGGUGCUGAUAUUGUUCACAAAGAACCGUCAAGAAAAGGGAUGAAAAAGAGAGAGGGCUUAGCAGUUAGUCAUCAGGGUGAGAAAUCCUAAUGCUAAUCUCUGAUCGUUGAAAAAUAUGAGUAAGAAGUGGACCUUGUACAUAGUGUGCUGUUGGUGAAAUAAUAAAAAUAUUUGUAAUUA
rnacentral:lncRNA from 1 species